GACGAACGCUGGCGGCGUGCUUAACACAUGCAAGUCGAACGGAAAGGCCCUGCUUUUGUGGGGUGCUCGAGUGGCGAACGGGUGAGUAACACGUGAGUAACCUGCCCUUGACUUUGGGAUAACUUCAGGAAACUGGGGCUCAUACCGGAUAGGAGCUCCUGCUGCAUGGUGGGGGUUGGAAAGUUUCGGCGGUUGGGGAUGGACUCGCGGCUUAUCAGCUUGUUGGUGGGGUAGUGGCUUACCAAGGCUUUGACGGGUAGCCGGCCUGAGAGGGUGACCGGCCACAUUGGUACUGAGAUACGGCGCAGACUCGUACGGGAGGCAGCAGUGGGGAAUAUUGCGCAAUGGGCGGAAGCCUGAGGCAGCAGCGCCGGGUGCGGGAUGACGGCUUUCGGGUUGUAAACCGCUUUCGCCUGUGACGAAGCGUGAGUGACGGUAAUGGGUAAAGAAGCACCGGCUAACUACGUG
rnacentral:rRNA from 1 species